rnacentral:pre_miRNA from 1 species
GUGUAUAUACACGUAUAUACGUGUAUAUAUGUGUAUAUAUACGUAUAUAUGUGUAUAUAUGUGUAUAUAUACG